CUGUGUACUGUAGAGCAGAUCAACCCCGACUCACAGAGUCAGAGUAAGCUGUGCUCCCAGGACUGAACAUACAUCAGCUUCAGGACUAAAUACGUAUCAGCUCCCAGACUAAACACGCAACAGCUCCCAGACAGAGAAUCGCAUCAGGACUGCCUCACCUCUCACACCAAUCAGACCUUCACUGCAGCAUGAAGCCCAGAAGAUUACUCAUGUUUGUGGCUCCUUUGCCCACAAUAACAGAGACACAUGAGGAUGUCCCUCCAAUGGGAUGCCAGGGAAACCUUGUCACAGGUCUUUGGAGGAAUAUGUCAAUUCCAUCAAGGAGCUGGCCCAGCCUGUUAGUGGCCCUGUGAGGGUGGCACGAACUGUGAGGCCUCACUUCUUCUCCAAGCCUGUGGGCAAGCACUUGGGCACCAGCUCUCCCCGGUGCUUACCAGGGCUCCGCGACCCCCCCCGCACUGCCCCGCUGGGCCUUGGAUGAACUGGCCCUCAGCUUCAGCAGCCAAAAGGAAUGGGGUAGCAGAGACCCAUUGGACUGGCUUUUUGCACAGACCACAGUUCCCCAUAGCUCGGGACGGGCAGCACAGGACUGAUAGUGCAGCUUUGAGGUUACUCUAAGGAGCAGCAGUCACAGCAAUGCAACCAGGGGUCACAUUGAGGAGUCCAAUCAAAGGACAAUGCUGUAAUAAUAAUGUCUUAAUUUAUUUUGUGUCACUGGGACUUUUGGUCCCCGUGUGUUUGUGUUUUACACUCUGAACUGAUUUUUACUUUAGUGAUUUAAAAUAAAUUGGAUUUUGAAAACUUG